rnacentral:rRNA from 1 species
GCCAUUCCGCGUGCAGGACGAAGGCCUUCGGGUUGUAAACUGCUUUUGUACGGAACGAAAAGGUCUCUAUUAAUACUAGGGGCUCAUGACGGUACCGUAAGAAUAAGCACCGGCUAACUACGUGCCAGCAGCCGCGGUAAUACGUAGGGUGCAAGCGUUAAUCGGAAUUACUGGGCGUAAAGCGUGCGCAGGCGGUUAUAUAAGACAGAUGUGAAAUCCCCGGGCUCAACCUGGGAACUGCAUUUGUGACUGUAUAGCUGGAGUGCGGCAGAGGGGGAUGGAAUUCCGCGUGUAGCAGUGAAAUGCGUAGAUAUGCGGAGGAACACCGAUGGCGAAGGCAAUCCCCUGGGCCUGCACUGACGCUCAUGCACGAAAGCGUGGGGAGCAAACAGGAUUAGAUACCCUGGUAGUCCACGCCCUAAACGAUGUCAACUGGUUGUUGGGUCUUCACUGACUCAGUAACGAAGCUA